GAUCCCUCAGAAAAUAUGAUAUUGUCUUUGUCAAGACACAGAUUUUCAUGAGGCUUUGCCCUGAUAGGAAAGUUUACAACUUCAGGGUCAAUGAACUUGAAUUGCAGCACAUCAGUACGCCUGGAAAGGUAUAAUUCCCUCUCAGUUGAUGUGUGUGAUAAGCCAGAAGGUACUAGUGGAGACCACUGCUGUCUGAAAAGGGAUUCCCAGACUG
rnacentral:misc_RNA from 1 species